CCAAUCAGCUGGAGAGAAGCUGGCAGUGAGCAUUUCCUUAGACACAAGGGGUGCCUAGAGACACCCUGGACUCCUCCUGCAUAUUCUGGAUGCUUGCUAGAGUACAUGCUAAGGUAUGCAGCUGGAGGAACUAUGAAUGUGAAAAAAAAAUGAUUUGUUACCUGCUACCCCCAUCUUUGAGAUUUGCAUGCUUUGCAGGAUGAGGUGGUUGGAGAUAAGGUGAGGGGAAGCCACCUGAACAUCACAGGGUUUCAGAAGCCUGCCUCUCAUCUAGAAUAUCCCACUUGCAUCCUUGGAGUACAGCCUCCCAAGGUGGACCAUUUCCUGCCAGCUGCAACUGGAUUAACAGCACAUGGGCAGUAGCCUGGGAGAACAGAGUGCA